rnacentral:misc_RNA from 1 species
GGAGAAAUUCUGAGAAACAUACAAAACGGAACGGUAAGAAGCAGAAGUUAAUGAAGACUGAUUAAGCUGUUUGUUGAGGAAAAGAAAUGGAGGCAAUUGCUGGGUUGGUAGCUGGAUCUCACAAGCGCAUUCGGCAUGAUUCUGAUUGUGGGAUGGAUUCUGAAGCGAAUGAAAUGCAACAUAAACAAGAACGCUUGAGAACAAGAUGGACACCCUCCCUGGACAAGGUUUUUGCUGACCUUGUUGUUGAGCAGAUUAAGCUGGGGAACCGGCCGAACAAUGUCUUUGACAAGAAAACUUGGAAUUAUAUACGUGAUGAAUUUAAUAGACAGACAAAUCUUCAUUUCAAUAACAACCAACUAAGAAAGCACCUUGAUGUGUUGCGAACUCGUUAUUACAACCUUAAAUCUGCUUCUGAUCAAAAUGAUGCUUU